rnacentral:lncRNA from 1 species
GAGCUGUCAAGAGAACUUUAUUCAUUGGAAACUGGGCCAGAGACCCCUCACGAAGCUGCAAGCCCCUGGGCCCUGGGCCCUUCUGUAUUUGGACCCUAGUGAAAUGUGCACAGUCUGCCCUCUCCAUGCCAGGGAGAGACAGAGAGGAAUGCCAUUUUUCUGUGUGAUGUGGGAGUGACAGGGGAAAGAGCAGAAAUCCGGUUAUCCCUCCUGAGACUCCCAGUGAGCUGGGGUGCCACAGGGCACGUGGCCCCAAAGUCAGGUGUUAAUGCUGUCCUAGCGUGAGUGCCUGCGUGGAGCAUGGAGGGGUGGGCAGGCAGGGAAGGAGGCUUCAGAGGUAGACAUUGAGGGUCUGCAGGAUGCCCCGGCGGCAGAGCGGGCAAUUGCGGUGGUAGACGGGGUGGCGCAUCAGGAUUUCAGUGCAGGCCUGGCACAGGCACAGAUGCCGGCAGGGCAGGAGCAACACUGUCUUGCUCUGGUCCUGGCAGAUGACACACUUCUUCCGCU